GGAGGAAAAAAAUUGUAUAAAAGGAGAGAGAAAAGGGGAUAAAAAUUAGUCGAGCGAGCAUCUCCGACACGGAAACAACUGCACGCGGCGCACUAUCUGUCACCAACUGCCUUCUUCUUCGUAUUAAAUCAGUUCGCAAUCAUGGCAAUAGCAGCGUAAGAGUACUACACCACGUCAUCGCCUUACUACACAACAACGUCAACAUACGUAACACCUGCUUAGUACACCGAGGCCCUCAAGUACUACAUCACCAAGGAUGCAGAGUAUUACACGAAAACUUACGAUGCUCCCAGCUACUACGCUAAAGCCCCGAAGUAAUUACACUACAACCUGCGCUACUCCAGAAAGCUGUAAUGAUGCUCCCAAGUACUAUUCUGCUCCCAGCUUCUACACUAAGGCUCCAUACUGUAACAACACCACCGAGGCACCGGAGUACUACACCACCGAGGCACCGGAGUACUACACCACCGAGGCACCGGAGUACUACACCACCGAGGCACCGGAGUACUACACCACCGAGGCACCGGAGUACUACACCACCGAGGCACCGGAGUACUACACCACCGAGGCACCGGAGUACUACACCACCGAGGCUUCAGCUUAUUACCGCUCCUAGCUUUAACAUCGAGACUACAGCUUAUUAUUGCACCAAAACAGUCGAAUACUACAUCGAAGCGCCCAAGCACUACUCAGCUCUGGCAACACAACCACAACUGAAGAGCUCCUAUACCGUGGCUCUCAAGUACUACACAACCAAGGCACCCUAGUAUUACAGUUCAACUUGCCCACAGCCACUACACCGAAGCUUCGAAGUAUUCCUCUGCCCCGAGUUACUACACCACUAAGACACCUGAAUGUUACAACACUACAUACGCUUCUCCAGUUUACUACAGGGAGUCUCCUAAAUACUAGAGCCGGAAUUUCUAUUUUAUUUAUGAGUGUUCGGAUUUGUCUGUCAUGUCUUAACAGUUACUAGUCACCCGGAAUUGUUGUUCUUUAAUGAGAAAAUAAAUUUUUUAAACUGAGUUUUGACAUAGCGACGUGUUCUAACUUUUAUUGGAUCUUAUCUAUUUAUGCAGUGGCUAUUGCUCCAGUCGCCCUGCAUUCGGACAUAUUCUGGUAAUUGGACAGACUUCAUUUUCAAAUUGGCGUAACAAAGG